rnacentral:tRNA from 1 species
GGCAGUGUGCUCUAGUGGAAAGAGCACAGUCCUGGGAGUUAGAGGACUUGGGUUCUAAUCCCAGCUCUGUCA